AAUAAAAUAAAGAAAA
rnacentral:sRNA from 1 species